AUUGAACGCUGGCGGCAGGCCUAACACAUGCAAGUCGAACGAGUGGCGGACGGGUGAGUAAUGUCUGGGAAACUGCCCGAAGGAGGGGGAUAACAACUGGAAACGGUAGCUAAUACCCCGUACCAUAGGAUGUGCCCAGAUGUGAUUGGCUUGUAGGUGGGGUAACGGUCCACCUAGGCGACGAUCCCUAGCUGGUCUGAGAGGCUGACCCGCCACACUGGAACUGAGACACGGUCCAGACUCCUACGGGAGGCAGCAGUGGGGAAUAUUGCACAAGGGGCGCAAGCCUGAUGCAGCCAUGCCGCGUGUAUGAAGAAGGCCUUCGGGUUGUAAAGUACUUUCGGCGGGGAGGCGUUACCCGCAGAAGAAGCACCGGCUAACUCCGUGCCAGCAGCCGCGGUAAUAC
rnacentral:rRNA from 1 species